GGAUUAGAAACCCGGGUAGUCCAUGCUGUAAACGAUGUCGAUUUGAAGGUUGUGGCCUAGUGCCGUGGCUUUCGGAGCUAACGCGUUAAAUCGACCGCCUGGGGAGUACGGCCGCAAGGUUAAAACUCAAAUGAAUUGACGGGGGCCCGCACAAGCGGUGGAGCAUGUGGCUUAAUUCGAUGCAACGCGAAGAACCUUACCUACUCUUGACAUCCAGAGGAUAUGGCAGAGAUGCCGUAGUGCCUUCGGGAACUCUGAGACAGGUGCUGCAUGGCUGUCGUCAGCUCGUGUUGUGAAAUGUUGGGUUAAGUCCCGCAACGAGCGCAACCCUUAUCCUUUGUUGCCAGCGAUUCGGUCGGGAACUCAAAGG
rnacentral:rRNA from 1 species